CAGCCAACGUCAAGGUAUAGCUAGAAUUUCGGAUGUAAAGACAUUUAACAGCCUUGGUGGACUCGGUCAGAUGCCUAGCCCAAGGCAUCCCCAGGAAUGAUUUUGGUUCGGGAUAGCAGGUAGAUAACCCAUUGCAUCAAGGACUUCAGUUAACCUUGUAUCGACAAAAUUGUUUUGAAGUGUGUUGGAUUACGUUUAACAUGUCUAGGGGGGACAGUGAUUCUGAUAUUUCACAGAGUGUUAGUGAAGGACCAAUAGAUUUCACUGUUGAAAGCCGAUGGUGUCCUGAACUUAAUAAUCCAGAAAGAGAUCCAUUUAGAGUACCUACUAAUGGGCUCCAUCAGAUUUGGGAGUGAAAGUUAAAAUAAGGGAAAGUCCUAGUAACAGUGAGACUGAUGAGAGUGUUGAUAGUAAUGACGUAAAUCAAGGCAUAAGAAACUUUCUCUUAAAAGGAAUUGAGGAAUAUGCCAAAGGGAGGAAGAAAAUGAGGACAACAGAAGAAGAAUAUUAUAGUGGGAAAGCAUCGACAUCAGUCAUUUGACAUUCUUCUCUAGGCUGUGGGAGCAAUGUAAGUAAAUGGCAAGAGAAGAAAAAGGGAAAACUUGAAACGGACUCGAAAAAGGAUCAAGAUGAUAAUGAUCCUAAAGAUGUUUAGUGUCUUGUUGAAGCUUGUAAUACUGUAAUCCUAGGCAGAUGUAGUAUAAGAAGGAUAAUAAUCCCCUGUAUAAAAGGCUUAAGAGUUGACUUUUGUCUUGUAUAAUAUAAACGGAUG